rnacentral:tRNA from 1 species
GUGUCUGUAGCCUAGUGGUAAAAGGCAGCACUCUAGAUGCUGAGGUUGUGGGUUCAAAUCCCACCAGACACA